AGUAACAAAAACCUCCUCUGUUACAAACACCCAGUGACAACAAGAACCCAAGAACCCAAGAACCCAAGGACCCGACAACCCGAGAAUCCCCCAGUAACAACCCCCACAACCCCCAUAACCCCACAAUGAACUCGCCAGCAUACUCCGAAACCUCUUCUUCAUACUCGUCCUCGCCCGGCUCACCAGUGUUCCAGAACAACAACCUGCUGCCUCCUCCCCCGUCGCCCCAGAUGAACGCGCAGUCGUUCCCCCAGCAGCUGGACUUUUCGCUGCUCGAGGUGGCGGCCAAAAAGGCCGAGAUGGGUAUCAUGAUGGACGACCUGGAGGACCUUUCUUUGUAAGCGACAGAUCAUCCAGUAUCGCUAGUUCCAUCAACCAUCCGCCACAACACUGAUUGCUCCGUGGAACUGGGCCCAGCCUGAAGUCUGUCACCUCUCUCUGUCACCUCUCUCUGUCACCUCUCUCUGUCACUUCCCCUCUCUGACCAGACGCCGAAACCCAAUCCUCAACGGCACUACAUAUGGCACAUAUGGCACAUACGGUGCAUAAGACGCAUAUGGGGCAUACGACCACAUCGGCUCCUUGCACCUUGAUUCGAAAGUGGCUCUGUGCAUAUGCAUCUUCCGGAACAUCGGACCAGGCUCUCUCUUUGCCUUAGACAGAAUGGGCCCAUCUCCAUCGUCCAUGACGGCAACACCGACACCAACCGCCCGCACGCCGUCUCCACUCACAUCUGCAUUAUUUAUUUCUAUGUACAUAGACCUCACAUUAAUAUAUCAUGAUAUACA
rnacentral:misc_RNA from 1 species